rnacentral:lncRNA from 10 species
ACCGGCUCUCUGACCUGGACCUCGCCGUCGCUGGCCCCUGAAAUCCAUCACUUUUGUCGGCUGUUCUGUGACGCCACAACGAGGAGCCACCUGGGUACUGGGCCCUCAAGAGGAAGGACGCGGGAAACGCGUCCGGGCCAACUCUCGAGAGGGUUUCACCCCUGCCCAGUGCGGGCACUGCCCGCUCCCUUCCGCCCCCAGGCCUCGCAGGCCCCUCCGGGGAUGCUGCCCACCCCCACUUACCUUUCUAGGCUCUGCUGACCCUUCGGGAUUCGCGGCUAGCUGUGAUGUGUCCGCCAAGAUCUCUUCUCUUGUCUGUAAACAACUUCACUCUCAAGGAGGCAGCUCUGGCCUCUCAGCAGGUGCGGCCUACAGUGAUGUCCGUCCGGGUUUUACAUCCUUCCCCGACCUCGACAUGAGUCCCAGCCCCCUCGGGCCUCUGACUCUCAGGUGUCCCCUACGAUCGCCGUCCUCUCCUCUCGCUCCUGGCUCCCCUACACUGUCACACACCCACACAAUCACAGACGCACACGCAUGUACACGUGCAGGCUUGGAAAUCUGCUUUACCUGACGCACUCCGCCUGCCGAAGGCCCCUCACAUCUCCCAUUUCCUCUGCCAUCAUCCCAGACUGCAAAGCUGUGUUAUUUGUUGUUGCUGCAGGAGCUGGGGAGGAGUGACUGAAUAACUAUAGGAUUUGGUCUUGAUGGGAGAAUCCCAGAAGCCAAAUCCACGCGGUGAAUAAGCUGCUGAUCUUCCAGAGCACACAUCCCCUAGAGAUUCUUCCCAAUGCUAAUAUGAAAGGUUACAACCAUAACCCAUCAUCAGGCCCAAAUAUAUUACUUACUGAAUAAAUACACAAGUUACAACAACACACGAGAUUCCAAAAUUAUGUCGUUUUUUAGAUGCAAAGAUAAAAAUGUUGUAAACACCAAAAUUUAACAGCUUUUCUUAUGGGGAAAAGUGGGGAGUUAGGGAUAACAGAUGAUUAUUAUUUUCUUCUCUACAUAUUGGCAGUUACCCAGUUACUACAAUUAAGCAUGUCCUAUUUUUAUAAUAAAAUGCCAGAAGCAUUUUAAAUGUUAGAAAUCUAGAAUGGUAACAUAAGUAUAUGCAAAUAAAUACUCGUUUUUUACAUUUAAAAUGUCAGAAAUUUAGCUUUCAAAUUUGUCCUAACAAUGACAGUAACCAGUGUUUACUAAGUUCUGACACUGUGUGUGGGCACUGUUUUAAGAAUUUUAUGAGUUAUCUUAUUAAAUCCUCACUAUCAUUCCUCCAUUGAACAUCUAAGGAAAGGGAGUUAUAGGGGGUUAUAAACUAAAAAUAACCUCCUAAGCCCCACCACAGCCAACUGAAUGGACCCCUCUUGGCCAAGAGGGCCCCAGAAACCUUAAAAACUGCGUUCUCAGCCAUGAUGGGAAGGGAGGUCGAACAUGCCUCACUAAUACCCUUGUGCAGUUUAGACACAACAACUAACAAGCAUUAAUGUUAAAAUAGAGAUCAUAAGACUGACAGAAUGGACGCUGUGGCAGUAAGAUACCAACUUACAAACAGGACCUAAGGCCAUGCCAGGCAUGAGUUAAGUCAUGCAUCCCUACACUUAAAAGAAUAAACUAUAUUUUAACUACCUGGAGAAGGUCUUAUGACUCGUGUUUUACAUCCUGUACUUGAGCAAAC